CACUUUCUCAAUCCAAUUUUCCAAGAAAUUCUACAUGGAGUAAUCACUCUCAACACUGCUUUUUUCACAAAAGGAUUGUAAAGUUACAAAAUUUCAACUCUUUUAGGGUCUGCUGUAAAUCUCAAGAUACCCAACAGAACAAAAAUAAUGGCAAGUUUCUUUUUUUGCUUAUAAUAGUAAUGAUUUUAGCUUACUAUUUUUUUUUUUUGUUUAUAAUAGUAAUGAUUUUAGUUUACAAUAAUAUUUAAAAAAAUUCUUGCCCUUUUUGUAUCAUAUGAUGGAUGGAUUAUAUAGCAAACAAUUGUUAAAAUGUUUUUUUAAAUAUAUAUAUUUUAAUUUAUUUUAUGUGUUGGCCUUUAUUGGUACUUGAAUAUAAUAAAUACUCAUGAGAUGGAGCUUGAUGAGUUCACAUAAUAUUUGGAUGGUAUAUCUCAACAGCCAACACUUAGGCCCUUUCAUGUCUUGAUUUUCAAGAAAAGUGUGUUAUUAUGUUUUGGCAAGAUAAGUAGAUACUAACCAAGUAAUUGUGCUUAAGUGGUUAAUAAGCUCCCUCUGGGACGAACCGUUUGGAAGAACCCGAGUUUGAUUCCUGGUAGGAACAAUUCUUGGUUAGACUUUACUUAUCUUGCAGUCAAACACUACAUCAUCUGGCCCUUCACCUGGGAACCGGAGGGUUAAAACCAAAAAAGAUAAGUAUAUAUGUUUGAGAAAUAGGUUAGAUUCUAAAUGCAUGUUUAGAUUGACAGUGACUUCGACAUAAUCACGGCUGAUAAAAGUUACACUUUGUAGUUUCAACAAAAUCAAUGGCGCAGUGAUUUCAUCAAGCUUACAUAGUGAUUAAAUAAAACAUCAA
rnacentral:lncRNA from 1 species